rnacentral:rRNA from 1 species
GGUGUUGCAUGGCUGUCGUCAGCUCGUGUCGUGAGAUGUUGGGUUAAGUCCCGCAACGAGCGCAACCCUCAUCCUUAGUUACCAUCAGGUAAUGCUGGGGACUUUAAGGAAACUGCCAGUGAUAAACUGGAGGAAGGUGGGGAUGAUGUCAAGUCAUCAUGGCCCUUAUGGAGUGGGCUACACACGUGCUACAAUGGUGGCUACAAUGGGCUGCAAAGUCGCGAGGCCAAGCUAAUCCCUUAAAAGCCAUCUCAGUUCGGAUUGUACUCUGCAACUCGAGUGCAUGAAGUUGGAAUCGCUAGUAAUCGUGGAUCAGCACGCCACGGUGAAUACGUUCCCGGGUCUUGUACACAC